CGGACGGGGGAGUAAUGUCUGGGAAACGUGCCCGAUGGAGGGGGGUAACUACUGGAAACGGUAGCUAAUACCGCAUAACGUCGCAAGACCAAAGAGGGGGACCUUCGGGCCUCUUGCCAUCGGAUGUGCCCAGAUGGGAUUAGCUAGUAGGUGGGGUAACGGCUCACCUAGGCGACGAUCCCUAGCUGGUCUGAGAGGAUGACCAGCCACACUGGAACUGAGACACGGUCCAG
rnacentral:rRNA from 1 species